rnacentral:lncRNA from 1 species
UGUGUAUGUGCGUAUGCACAUGCACAUACUAAAGAACUUGCCAAACAAGUACUCAGGGAGACAACACCUACAAUUCACCAGAGAAUAAGCCUAGGGAAUGGUCACACCCAGCUUGUACCACAUGAAAAGACUCCAGGCUCCAGACUAGUGCAGGAUGAAGCUCUGCUGUUGUGCCCUAAGCCAUGGACAACUAUCAGCUAUGGCAGCCCAUUGUGUCCAGGGCAGGUAGGAGAUGGUGCAGAGUCCUACUGUCUGGGCUUCUGAAGGGACUUUGCUUCUUCACAGUAAUAAUCUUGUCUUUUAUGUCCAGGGGUUGUCUCCAGCAUGGCCGAAAGCAGGAGUUCAAGGCAAAACCCGUUUUGAUGAUUUGGGAAUAAAAACAAAUGUAUGAGGGGAAAGGAAACUCAGAAGAGGAAUAAAAUCUAAAAUCAGGUAGUGUGGCUUAUGAAAACUGGUACUAGUAGAUAUAACAUUUGUACUGGCUGGUUUUAUGUGUCAACUUGACACAAGCUGAAGUUAUCACAGAGAAAGGAACUUCAGUUGAGGAAAUGCCUCCACGAGAUCCAGCUAUGGGGCAUUUUCUCAAUUAGUGAUCAAGGGGGAAAUGCCCCUUGUGGGUGAUGCCAUCUCUGGGCUGGAUGUCUUGGUUCUAUAAGAGAGUAGGCUGAGCAAGCCAGGGGAAGCGUGUAAAGAACAUCCCUCCAUGGGCUCUGAAUCAGCUCUUGUUUCCUGACCUGCUUUAGUUCCAGUCCUGACUUCCUUUUGUGAUGAACAGCAAUGUGGAAAGUGUAGCUGAAUAAACCCUUUCCUCCCUAACUUGCUUCUUGGUCAUGAUGUUUUGUCCAGGAAUAGAAACCCUGACUAAGACAGAGUGUUUCAGUGUAUCUCUUCCCACACAUUGCUAAGGCCACAGAAGUUCUCAAGAUGGAUCAGUAGAUGGCUCUAAGGCAGACACUGAGUGGCUUUUGGAGCUCUACAGGGUUCCUCUUGGCACAGUAAGAACUUUCUGCCUGAGAGAAAGUGUACUUCUG